CGGCGGCAGCUCACUCAACCCGCUGCCGGAGCGGAAACGCCACUGACCGUACGGGGAUUCCCAUCGCCGGCGCCAGGGGCACCCGGGACACGCCCCCUCUCGCCGCGCGAUUGGCCUCUCCGCCCACCACCCUGCACUCAUUGGUCAGCUCGCCACCAAUCAGCGGAAGCCGCCGGGGCCGCCUAGAGAAGAGGCUGUGCUCUGGGGCUGCGGCUCCUCAGAGAGCCUCGGCUAGGUGCCCUUCUCUAGAGAAAGAUGAGGACACGCUGAAGGUUGAAGCAUUAUAUGGGCAACAUGGGUAUGAGGAAGAAGGGGAAAAUGAAGACAAUAAAUGCCUACUAUAUGCCAGAAACUAAAAGCUUUGAAUAUACUGAUGAAAAAUAACCCACACACAAGCUGGGUGUGAUGGUACAUGCCUAUGAUCCCAGGACUCCAGAGGCUGAGGCAGGAGAAUCACUCCAAGUUUGAGGUCAGCCUGGGUUACAUAGUGAAGUUAAGACCAUCCUGUAUAUAGUGAGACCCUGACUCAAAAAACCAACAGAAAAAACCGCGAAACAAUCCAUGCCCACAUUUUCCUUAUGUGGUAAUCAGUUUUACCUUAGCUUUUGUUUUACUGGGAUGGCAGUUUGCUAACCUUCACUUCUCACCUGCAAUAAUUCCUAAUUACUUCUGAG